AAUAGGUUGGCAGACUAGUGCAUUAAAUUUAGAUUUUAAUUAUGUAUAAUAAAAUACAUCUAUUA
rnacentral:tRNA from 1 species